rnacentral:misc_RNA from 1 species
GGGGAAGGUGAAAGGAAAGCAUCGUUUGGACAAGUACUAUCAUCUUGCCAAAGAACAAGGUUAUCGUUCUAGAGCGGCAUGGAAGCUUAUCCAACUCGAUUCCAAGUUCAGUUUUCUACGUUCAUCACAAUCAGUACUUGAUCUUUGUGCAGCACCUGGGGGUUGGAUGCAAGUUGCUGUUAAACAUGUACCGGUUGGUAGUCUUGUUAUCGGUGUUGAUUUGGAUCCAAUUAGGCCAAUUCGUGGUGCUAUUUCUGUUCAACAGGAUAUUACUACACCUAAAUGUCGUUCAACUAUUAAGAAACUUAUGGCUGAGAAUGGAUGUAGAGCUUUCGAUUUGGUUCUUCAUGAUGGUUCCCCUAAUGUUGGUGGUGCUUGGGCUAAAGAAGCUACUAGUCAGAACUCAUUGGUUAUUGAUUCGGUUAAGCUUGCUACUGAAUUGUUGGCUCCAAAAGGGACUUUUAUUACAAAGAUUUUCAGAUCUCAAGAUUAUAAUGCAGUUCUUUACUGUCUAAGACAGCUU